GACAGAGGCCUCGAGCGUUAGGCGGAAUCACUGGGCUUAAAGCGUGUGUAGGCGGACUUCUAAGUACCUUGUGAAAUCCCACGGCUCACCCGUGGAACUGCUCGGUAUACUGGUCGUCUUGAGCCUUCUAGGGGCGAGUGGAACAAAUGGUGGAGCGGUGAAAUGCGUAGAUAUCAUUUGGAACGCCAAUGGUGAAAACAACUCGCUGGGGAAGUGCUGACGCUGAGACACGAAAGCCAGGGGAGCGAACGGG
rnacentral:rRNA from 1 species